rnacentral:rRNA from 1 species
GUGAGGAAUAUUGGACAAUGGGCGCAAGCCUGAUCCAGCCAUGCCGCGUGCAGGAAGACGCAUCUAUGGUGUGUAAACUGCUUUUGUACGGGAAGAAACACUCCCUCGUGAGGGAGCUUGACGGUACCGUAAGAAUAAGGAUCGGCUAACUCCGUGCCAGCAGCCGCGGUAAUACGGAGGAUCCAAGCGUUAUCCGGAAUCAUUGGGUUUAAAGGGUCCGUAGGCGGUUUAAUAAGUCAGUGGUGAAAGCCCAUCGCUCAACGAUGGAACGGCCAUUGAUACUGUUAGACUUGAAUUACAAGGAAGUAACUAGAAUAUGUAGUGUAGCGGUGAAAUGCUUAGAUAUUACAUGGAAUACCAAUUGCGAAGGCAGGUUACUACUUGUGGAUUGACGCUGAUGGACGAAAGCGUGGGGAGCGAACAGGAUUAGAUACCCCAGUAGUCC